rnacentral:rRNA from 1 species
GAUGAACGCUGGCGGCGUGCUUAACACAUGCAAGUCGAACGGAAAGGCCCAAGCUUGCUUGGGUACUCGAGUGGCGAACGGGUGAGUAACACGUGGGUGAUCUGCCCUGCACUUCGGGAUAAGCCUGGGAAACUGGGUCUAAUACCGGAUAGGACCACUUCUUGGAUGUUGUGGUGGAAAGUUUUUUCGGUGUGGGAUGAGCUCGCGGCCUAUCAGCUUGUUGGUGGGGUAAUGGCCUACCAAGGCGUCGACGGGUAGCCGGCCUGAGAGGGUGUACGGCCAAAUUGGGACCGAGAUACGGCCCAGACUCCUACGGGAGGCAGCAGUGGGGAAUAUUGCACAAUGGGCGCAAGCCUGAUGCAGCGACGCCGCGUGGGGGAUGACGGCCUUCGGGUUGGAAACUCCUUUCGCUAGGGACGAAGCGUUUUGUGACGGUACCUGGAGAAGAAGCACCGGCUAACUACGUG